AUGCAUGAUGGUAUUUUCUCCAAUCAUGUUAUUAUUCACACCUACUUUAAGUCCAUCACUAUAAAAGCAUAAAAUUUGGGAUCAAAUAAAUUACCCAAAACUAUAAUAUUAUUCCAAAAUUGGGAAUGAAAUUA